CAUUAAGCCAAGGCUGAUCAAAUAGGAAAAGAAUUAUGGUUGCAAAUAACUUAGAAGAAAAAAAAAAUCAAUAAGUUACUUUGAUGACAACAAACUAAUUGCCAUUCGGAAAGCUGUGUAAUUAGUUUUACCUGCAAUUAAACAAUGUGGAUAUAAUGAAGGAGGAUAAAUUGAAGAGGAAAGGACACUAGCAAGGACCAAAGAUUGUGGAACAGAGAAGCAGAAGAAGCACCACAUUUCAGACAGCGACCUGAUUCCCCAAAUACAAAAUGCCUUCUCUGACUCUGUGAGACAUAGGCUCUAUGCACAGUUUUGAUGUGUACUUCCUGUAAAAUGGAGGCACGUACAGUACGGAGGACUGUAUCUUAAUGUUCAAAUAAUGCAUUUUCGUGUGAUAA